AGCCCAGCAGAGGAUUUGGCACUUGAAGGGCGUGGGGGCCGCUGAGGGGUCUAAGGAGGGCAGUGAAGAUGGGUUUCGUGUUUUUGAGCAGUCACUGGCUGUCGUGUGGUGGAAUUGUUUGGAGGAAGCAGGACCACGUGGGAGGUGGAGGUGACCUGGACCAGGGUGGUGGCAGCGGGGUCGUGGCUUCCUCAAGCAUCGCUAAGCUUCUUGAAGUCUAGACCCAAAAGACUGGUGUUCCAGCUCUUUCCUGUCUGAGCCUAGGGUUUUCUGCCUGGGGACUGACUUGGGGAACUUUUUUCUCCAUUCAGGCCAGGUUUUGUCAUUUUGCCGGUAGGGCAGAUGGUCACCGAGGGCUUCAGCCGCGUGACUGUCUGUGUGUCCUGGUGAGCCCAGCACCCAUGCGGGAGAUGCACACUUAGCCCGGAGGGGCGGGGUGAAGAGAGGCUGAUUCUCAGAAAUGGAACAGAUCAUGGAGGGUUUGGAAGGUGGGCUUAGGGGUCCUGAAAGAGAUGGAAAGCCCUUGGAAGAGAGGCAAGUUCAGAUGUGUCGUGUCAGGAAUGUCACUCUGGAGGCAGCCUGGCACUGGAAGGGCUGAAACUGGGGGCAGGGUGGCUCUCAGCAGUGGAGACAAGUUGUGAGGACUCUAAGGGAGUGGGGGAGAGACGGAGGAAGAGAAACCCCAGGACUGUUUGUGGCAGCCUGGACUGGGGUGGGGAGACUGGGAGAACGCUGUUCCGCAGAACUUGCUGCCACGACGGGACCGUUCUGUGUCUGUGCUCUCCAGUAGGCGCCAGGCGCUUAAAAUGUGACUAGUGCCACUGAGGAACUGAAUUUUAAAAUGUAUUUAAUUUUAACUAAUUAAGUCCAAGAAGGAUAGCCCAUCACACACAGAGGGUGUGGUGGGAAACACACUGUUCUAGGCUUUGUUCUUUUAAAUGUUUUUAAUGUUUCCAAUAACUGUAUGAGGUGUAAGAUUCCUUUUUCACAGAUAAAGGAAAUUGGAGGCUCAGAGAGAGUAAACAACCUCCCCUGUGCUAAGUUGUUUGACUUCUAAGGCUGGGCUCUCUGUGCUGCAUCCUGCUUCCUUCCCCCCAGGAACGAAAUCCUCUGAGUGCAGCAUUGUUUCCCCACGUGCUCUCCUUAUCUGUUCCCAGUGGUCUGAGGAGCCGGCGUAGACCCAACAGAAAGCUGUUGUGAGCUGGUUGUUUUGCCCGAGGCUUCUUCCUGCUGCCUCAUAUCUUCCUAGUGGCAGCUAUUUCUCUUAGCAUUUCCGGAAAAUGAAUGGAGUAAGAAGCUGGUGAAACUGCAGAUCAGCCAGACUGUGUGGCUUAUUUGUAAAGAACGGUGGUAAAAAGGUAGGAGUGAGUGCCUUACAGGAAGUUUUGGCGUCGCGGUAGACCGGUUAGUGCCAGGAUGGUGGCGAGAUUAUGGGCCGGGAGCCAGGAGUGAGUGUAUAGCUUGCGCCUGACUCCUUGCAGGCCUUGACCAAGUCACUACUCCUCGGAGGCUCAGUUUUCACUUCUAUAAAAUUAGGGUAUUUGGCAUCACAUAACCUAUAAGAUUCCUCCAGCUCUAGAAGUCUAUAAUUUUGAGUUUCAUUGGAGGUUUACUUUCUAGAACAUCUCUGUUGCUCUUGGGAUGGAGCAGUGCUGGUGGUUCAGCAUGCCUUUGGCCUCUGUGUUGGUGUGUUUUGCCAUUAUUGGCUUAUCAUUAAGUAACACGUCUCUUUAAGUUAUGUGACGUGUCACGUCUGUUGGACAAGCUGUUAAACAGCGAACACUUUAGCAGUUGGCAGGGUUUCUAGUAAAAUGUCGGGGAUGUUUGUUUGCCAUCCUGAGCCGCACUGAUGUUAGGAGAAAACGUGCAAGACUAUAUUUACCGUGGUGGUUGGCCUCUUAAAAAGGCUUAAUGUGCGUGGCUGGGCCAGGUGAGACGUGGUAAUGAUAGCACUUGAUAGGGUUCUGAGAGUGUAAAUGAGACAGUGGAUGUGAGGUGCUUAGUGCUUUCCCUGGGUUCUAGUAAGGGAGCAGAAAGUGUCAGUAAUUAGCGUUGCUUUUUGAACUAAACUGUUGACCUUUAAAUUUUUUUAUCAGUGAUGGGGUUUGUUGUUUUGGUUUGAACGGAUAUGCCCAAGCAGCUCUGUUUGGAGGCACUGGUUUCAAGAAGCAAAUGAACACAUUUUGAUCAUUACAAAAUAAGCAUUUUUGCUGUCAUAAUUCAUUUUGACUGACUAAAAAGUGAUUGGUUAGGUAGCAUGUGUUCAAAUGAAGGUUUUGUAUUUUCUGUAAAUUGAAGAAAACAAUUCGUCCUGAAGCUCCCUUACUAGUAAUGGCCGGGAUUAAGUUUCACCGGGCCUGUGGUUAAGUUAAUAUGUACUUGUGGUGACUGCCUUAGAAAAGUUGUGUGGACUUGAAAGCCCGCUGCUGCUGAGGGAGAAAGGUGGCUGUGAGGUAGUUUAUAGUAAAAGGUAAACAUUUUACAGUUGACUGAGUGCCUUCCAGAUCUUCACCUGAAGGUCUUCACCACAAUCCAGGCAGUGGUGUGGGUGAUGGACUUCUCAUUUGACAGGUUUGGAAACUGAGGCAGAGGCCUCACGGCUGGGAAUGUGCUGGUGUUUCCUUGUCUCCAGACCCUGGCUCCCCCCGACCCCCGGCCCUUUCUGGUGGAGCUGUCCGGGUCUGGGGCUGAGCGUCUCCUUUGCAGUUCAAAGGCUUUUGUGUCCAUUUGCGCCUUGUUUCCAGCUCAAGUGAACCUGCUCCUGCUAAUGGAAGUGGAAAUGCAUCGCUCAUCCAGAUCCCAGGAUUCACAGAUGGAUUCAGUGGAAAAGACAACAACAACUAGAAGUGAACAGAAAUCGAGUAGAAAGUUUUUGAAAAGCCUCAUCCGGAAACAGCCCCAGGAACUGCUCUUGGUCAUUGGGACCGGUGUCAGUGCUGCAGUGGCCCCGGGGAUCCCUGCCCUCUGCUCGUGGAGAAGCUGCAUCGAGGCUAUCAUCGAGGCCGCAGAGCAGCUGGAGGUGCUUCACCCAGGGGACAUCGCCGAGUUCCGCAGGAAAGUAAUGAAGGACCGGGACCUGCUGGUUGUUGCCCAUGAUCUGAUCCGGAAGAUGUCACCUCGCACAGGCGACACCAAGCCCAACUUCUUCCAGGACUGCCUGAUGGAGAUCUUCGACAGCCUGGAGCAGCACAUCCAGAACCCGCUGGUGCUGCAGUCCAUCCUCAGCCUGAUGGAGCGGGGCACGAUGGUCCUGACCACCAACUACGACAACCUGCUGGAGAUCUUUGGGCAGCAGCAGAACAAGCCCAUGGAGUCUCUGGAUUUGAAGGACAAGACCAAGGUCCUUCAGUGGGCAAGAGGACACAUCAGAUACGGAGUCCUCCACAUUCACGGCUUAUACACAGACCCCUGCGGGAUGGUACUGGAUCCAUCAGGAUAUAAAGAUGUCACUCAGGACCCAGAAGUCAUGGAAGUUCUCCAGAACUUGUACCGCACCAAAUCUUUUCUGUUUGUGGGCUGUGGAGAGACCCUUCGUGAUCAGAUUUUCCAAGCUCUUUUCCUUUACUCAGUGCCAAAUAAGGUGGAUUUAGAGCACUAUAUGGUUGUGCUCAAAGAGAAUGAAGACCAUUUCUUUAAGCACCAAGCAGACAUGCUUUUGCACGGGAUUAAAGUAGUGUCCUACGGGGACUGCUUCGACCACUUCCCGGGGUACGUGCAAGAGCUGGCCACGCAGAUCUGCAAGCAGCGCAGUCCAGAUGCCGAUGGAGUGGACAGCACCACAUUGUUGGGUAAUGCAUGCCAGGACUGUGCGAAGAGGAAGUUAGAAGAGAAUGGAAUUGAAGCUUCCAAAAAACUCCGACCGUCAGAUACGGAGAGAGACCAAGGUGCAUCUUCUCAGUGCUGCUGACCACACGGGCAGGCUGCAACGCUUGAAGGAAGGUGGCAGGCCCCUAGCCGCACGGCAGUCCUGUAUGAUGCUGGAGGGUCUUGAAAUCUUUAAACCAAUAAAACCUGCAACUUGAAAACCGGCCUCUGUAACCGCAGUGCCAUACCCAACCGUGAGGGACGUUCCGAGACCUCCACGUGGGACCUCAGCUCUCACCCGUCACGCCCCGGAAGGGCCCUGUGGGUGCGGGACCCUCGGGGGCCGCGUGAAGAGUUCCGCUGUGCGUGUGGGACUGCGCGGGCGGGGAAGCGGACACACUGCAGGUGUCCUUUGUGAGGACUGAUGGACAACUACCUCAGGGGCCAGCUUGGCAGGAAGGGAGAUCUCUGGUGUCCCUGAUGCCCGUGUGACAUGCCCUUUUUGUCAAGGUGGUUUUUUCUAAUAACAAGGAGAGAGUGAAGACUGUCCAAGCAACAGUAGUUGCCAAAGAGAAAAUAAGAAACUAGACACUUAUAUUUGGUAAUUUUUACGUGGAGACGUCUGUUACUGUAAACAGUUUGCAAGCCUGUCUGUCCCCUUGUUAGAUAGUAAAGCGCGCGGGUGCUCUCAAAGAAAGACAAGCUGAGCAGGGCCGCUUGGGAAUGGCGAUGUUACUAACUUCAGUCCCCAAGAACGGCGGGUCUGGCGUGCGAAGCAGCGGAGACCCGGUCACAAGUGCAGCCCCAUGCGGUGCGAGUCUGUUUUGUGACCGACAGUUGGGAAGUUCCGAGUGGAGCAUGAGACCAAGUUUGAGCUGGGAGCGAGUGUAUACUCCAGGCUCUCCCAGCCACCCUGCGGGGUGCGGCCAGCCCUUCCGUUGUCUCCAAAUGCGCUUCCCGUGGCCGGCGGAGGGCCUGCAGAGCGCGAGGGAGGCCAGACUGGGGGCAGGCGUGCAGCACUGGGAACGCUGCCAGGCUUCCUCCAGGGCAGACACGGUGCGCGCCCCGGGUGCAGGCCUUGUGCCCGGGAGUCGCUCUGACUCUGACCGAGUCGCUCUGACUGUGACCGUGGCAGAGGCCCUGCUAGGUUUACCUCCCAGAGGCUGCUUAUUUUGAAUGUGACAUUUCUUGCCAAGCCCUGGGACACUCCCCACGGGUGGCAGUGUAGCUCCCCAUAGGUAUAGAGAAAGUAAGGAACAAGAAAUAGAAAGUUGGGGCGUGUAGGGAAUGAGAGAAGCCAGAGACUUGCUUAAGACCUUUUCUUUUUGAAGCAUGGAAAACAAACCUUUUAUGUUAUUCUGGUCAUAAAUAAAAUUUUGACUUCAAC